rnacentral:rRNA from 1 species
AAAUUGAAGAGUUUGAUCAUGGCUCAGAUUGAACGCUGGCGGCAGGCCUAACACAUGCAAGUCGAACGGUAACAGGAAACAGCUUGCUGUUUCGCUGACGAGUGGCGGACGGGUGAGUAAUGUCUGGGAAACUGCCCGAUGGAGGGGGAUAACUACUGGAAACGGUAGCUAAUACCGCAUAACGUCGCAAGACCAAAGAGGGGGACCUUAGGGCCUCUUGCCAUCGGAUGUGCCCAGAUGGGAUUAGCUUGUUGGUGAGGUAACGGCUCACCAAGGCGACGAUCCCUAGCUGGUCUGAGAGGAUGACCAGCCACACUGGAACUGAGACACGGUCCAGACUCCUACGGGAGGCAGCAGUGGGGAAUAUUGCACAAUGGGCGCAAGCCUGAUGCAGCCAUGCCGCGUGUAUGAAGAAGGCCUUCGGGUUGUAAAGUACUUUCAGCGGGGAGGAAGGGAGUAAAGUUAAUACCUUUGCUCAUUGACGUUACCCGCAGAAGAAGCACCGGCUAACUCCGUGCCAGCAGCCGCGGUAAUACGGAGGGUGCAAGCGUUAAUCGGAAUUACUGGGCGUAAAGCGCACGCAGGCGGUUGAUUAAGUCAGAUGUGAAAUCCCCGGGCUCAACCUGGGAACUGCAUCUGAUACUGGUCAGCUUGAGUCUCGUAGAGGGGGGUAGAAUUCCAGGUGUAGCGGUGAAAU